UUAGUUGUUGUUGCGUUAGCAACACAUACUCUUGUGCACUCGUGAUUUGUUUUUGGGUCUGUCUGUCUGUAGUCAUUAUGUCAACAGCAGGGGCCCAACAUUAUAUUAAACACCUACUUCUCAACCUGAUAUAAAAAGUAAAAUUAAAAA
rnacentral:misc_RNA from 1 species